CGAAUACAAUAUUCAACAUGUUGAGCUAUCUAUUAAAAAUGAGAAUGCACAUGUUGUUGAGGCUAAUCAUACCAAAACAAAUGGGUUAAACAGAUCUUAAAAGUACAUUUUUGGUUAACUCAUCCCUAAGAGGCAGCAAACCAAAUAUUAGGUCAUUUUGUUAAUCAUGUUCUUGGAAAUAUCUGUUGGACUACUUGGACAGGAAGACACACAAAUAAGCACCAAGAUUGAAUAGUUUUUACUCCUAACUUUAAGAAACGACGUACAUUGUAGCUGUUUAGUGAAAUACAAACACACAUAAGAAAGUUAAGUUUAAUUUUUUUAAUAAAUAAAUAAAUUAUUUCUCUUUAAAAACAGAUCAAAACAUUUGUUGUCACUUGAUACAAA
rnacentral:lncRNA from 1 species